UAAAUCAAGCUUUAUGGGUUAAUACUGGGAAUAUUAGGGAGAGUUUUCAAGGUAUUGAUCAUUCUAUCGCAAUCUGUGUAUGGUUGUAAAUUGACAGCCACUAUUUUUUGUCUUCCUUUCCAGAGCAUGUAAAAUGAAUACUGAAAUAUUGAUAUUGAUGAAAGGAAAUGAUUCCAUCCUGUGAACGAGACUGAAGUGGCUUCAACCCCUCAAUGCUGAUAUUGUUCAGAUAGCGACAGAGGACAGGCCAGAUUUUUGACAUGAUGCGAAGUAAAAAUGUGCUCCGAAACACACCCUUUAAAGACAUUCCCAUAUAUACUCCAAGUUCAGAGCAGAUUAAUUCACUUCACUGUGCUUGAGGCAUUUCCCACCCAUCUUAAGGCACCGGGACCGUUCAAACACGAAGAAAGUCCAUUUUGUCUCUGUGACACCGGAGUUCUGGAAACACAACGGGCAUUCGUCAGAUCUCCUGCUGCAGAAAUAACUGGAAGACUGAAGAAGUCGGGCUUAUCAACUCAUUUCCGUGA